CCGGCUUGAAGAUGACCUAGGGUUUCGAAGGUCACGGAUUUGGAGAGGUUGGAAUCAGGGAGGUGUUGUUGGAUUAGGGGAAGGAAUCGGAUCAGACUCGUGCUAGGUUUUCCCUUGAUCGGAUCAGUGGACCUCCACCUCCUUGCUGUUGAUUGAGGUCUCGAAUUGAAGUGAGGGGAGGUGAGGUUCCAUUCUUGUUGUGGAAUUGUGUUUGGUUCCGGCAGUAACAAUCACCUCAAUCCAGCAUCAACAGUAGGUUCGAUCUGCUCUGUUCUAUUUGUGAACUUUCUGAUUUCGGCAGUAAACCAUCCAGCAACAACAACAACUGGAUUUGAGGACUCUGAUUCGAGACGGGCGUCUCGACUUCGGACUUUGGA